UACCAUACCAAUCCAGAGGAGACGAAGGAGAUUAUGCGUCAAGUACAAGAGCUUCUCGACAAAGGUUAUAUACGCGAAUCCCUUAGUCCUUGUGCUGUUCCUAUUAUUCUAGUGCCGAAAAAGGAUGGUACAUCACGUAUGUGUGUUGAUUAUAGAGGCAUUAAUAAUAUUACUAUUCGUUAUCAUCAUCCUAUUCCUAGGCUAGAUGAUAUGCUUGAUGAAUUGAUUGGCUCUACAAUAUUCUCCAAAGUUGAUUUGCGUAGUGGAUACCAUCAAAUUCGUAUGAAAUUGGGAGAUGAAUGGAAA
rnacentral:rRNA from 1 species